rnacentral:tRNA from 1 species
AUUUAUAAAAUAUUUUAAAAAUUAAUUUAAUAUCCUAUUUAUUUAAAAAUUUAAUUUAAAGUUAAAUU